CCUCGAUAGCGUGACAGUUAAUUCAAAUUUGUAUGGAGUUGGUACGUUUGCGUACGUUGGCCGCGAGAGACGCUGUUCCGACUGCAUACAAAUUUGAGUUAACUUUUACGCUAUCGA
rnacentral:pre_miRNA from 9 species